rnacentral:rRNA from 1 species
UACGUAGGUGGCAAGCGUUGUCCGGAAUUAUUGGGCGUAAAGCGCGCGCAGGCGGUUCUUUUAAGUCUGAUGUGAAAGCCCACGGCUCAACCGUGGAGGGUCAUUGGAAACUGGGGAACUUGAGUGCAGGAGAGAAGAGUGGAAUUCCACGUGUAGCGGUGAAAUGCGUAGAGAUGUGGAGGAACACCAGUGGCGAAGGCGACUCUUUGGCCUGUAACUGACGCUGAGGCGCGAAAGCGUGGGGAGCAAACAGG